rnacentral:snRNA from 1 species
GGAUGUGAGGGCGAUCUGGCUGCGACAUCUGUCACCCCAUUGAUUGCCAGGGUUGAUUUGGCUGAUCUGGCUGGCUAGGCGGGUGUCCCCUUCCUCCCUCACCGCUCCAAGUGCGUCCCUCCCGAAGCUGCGCACUCGGUCAAAGAGGACGACCUUCCCCGAUGGAGGAGGACCGUUCUUCGGUCAAGGGUAUACAGUAGCUGCGCUCCCUUGCUAGAACCUCCAAACAAGCUCUCAAGAAAUGGGCCAGAACUAUACAUAGCUGUGCAGCCUCUGAGGCUGGCUCUGUGA